GACGAACGCUGGCGGCGCGCUUAACACAUGCAAGUCGAGCGAGAACCGGCCUUCGGGCCGGGGAAAGCGGCGAACGGGUGAGUAACACGUGGGUAAUCUGCCCUCGGCACCGGGAUAGCCCGGGGAAACCCGGAUUAAUACCGGAUGGCCCUUUGAGUCCUCGGAUUCAAAGGAAAAGGUAGCUUCGGCCUCCGGCCGAGGAUGAGCCCGCGGCGGAUUAGCUUGUUGGUUGGGUAACGGCCUACCAAGGCGACGAUCCGUAGCUGGUCUGAGAGGACGAUCAGCCACACUGGGACUGAGACACGGCCCAGACUCCCACGGGAGGCAGCAGUGGGGAAUCUUGCGCAAUGGGCGAAAGCCUGACGCAGCGACGCCGCGUGAGGGAAGAAGGCCUUCGGGUUGUAAACCUCUUUCAGGAGGGACGAAGCCACUCGGGUUAAUAGCCCAGAGGGUGACGGUACCUCCAGAAGAAGCCCCGGCUAACUACGUGCCAGCAGCCGCCGUAACAC
rnacentral:rRNA from 1 species